UGAGUAAGACAGAUGAUCGCGGCUACAUUUCCGAAAGGAAGUAGGUGAGGAAAGUCCGGGCUUCAUAGGGCAGGAUGCCGGAUAACGUCCGGUGGAGGCGACUCCAAGGCUAGUGCAACAGAGAUAUACCGCCAUUUUAUGGUAAGGGUGGAAAGGUGGAGUAAGAGACCACCGCAGUCUUGGUAACAAGAUUGGCUAUGUAAACCCCAUUCGAAGCAAGACCGAGUAAAAACAAUACGUCUGCCCGGCGUGUUUUAGGUAGGUCGCUUGAGUCUAUUGGCAACAGUAGAACUAGAUAGAUGAUCAUCACGAAGCAAUUCGACAUAACCCGGCUUAUAGUUUUGCUCAUUUA
rnacentral:RNase_P_RNA from 1 species